UGAUCUCCCUGUACAAAAGCAGGGAUAAACCCAUAAGACGAGAAGACCCUGUGGAACUUCAAAACCAGCA
rnacentral:rRNA from 1 species